CCUAUCCUUGAUUGCUUGUUUC
rnacentral:miRNA from 1 species